rnacentral:rRNA from 1 species
CCUACGGGUGGCUGCAGUGAGGCAUAUUGGUCAAUGGGCGCGAGCCUGAACCAGCCAAGUAGCGUGAAGGAUGACUGCCCUACGUGUUGUAAACUUCUUUUAUAAAGGACUAAAGUGAGGCACGUGUGCCUUUUUGUAUGUACUUUAUGAAUAAGGAUCGGCUAACUCCGUUCCAUCCGCCGCGGUAAGACGUAGGAUCCGAGCGUUAUCCGGAUUUGUUGGGUUUAAAGGGAGCGUAGAUGGGUUGUUCAGUCAGUUGUGAAAGUUUGCGGCUCAAACGUAAAAUUGCAAUUGAUACUGGCAGCCUUGAGUACAGUUGAGGUAGGCGGAAUGCGUGGUGUAGCGGUGAAAUGCUUAGAUAUCACGAAGAACUCCGAUUGCGAAGGCAGCUUACUAAACUGCCACUGACAUUGAUGCUCGAAAGUGUGGGUAUCAAACAGGAUUAGAUACCCCAGUAGUC